AGAGGAGUGGAUUUGGUGGAGCUGGAGAUGUUGCUAGAACUUUACCCAAAGCAUUGGCCAAGAGAGGACAUCGUGUAAUGGUUCCUUGGCGUGUCCCAUGUGGUUGAUUUUUCUGAUAAGGGAUUUAUGAUAUAUACCCCAAUGUGCCUGGGUAAUACACAACAUUGCACAUCAGGAUGAUUUCUUGAAUUUCAUAAUUAUGUUCAUGGCGAGCCAUGCUUAUGUUGAGAACCCUUAUCCGAGAGCUGAAAUGGUUGAAGUACUAAAUUGUUGGUUACCAAAAAGAAGUAUAACUGAUGAGAGAUCCUGUCAUUUUACCUUUAUCAAGAAUAUAAGUAGACCGGCCAGUUAUCCAAAGGCGCUUGCUGAGUGACCGAUCCAUUCAACCAUUCCCAUCUCACUCAAGACAUGCUGAUACUCAACACAGGGCUGAAACAAAGAAUCCAAGAUUUCAUCAGAUCUGUAGAGGAAACGAAGCUGAGGGAAUGAAGCUUCUGAAGAUGUUUGUGGUUGAGUAAAUGCAGAUCAAAGCUGUUUACGAAAAUGACAAAGGGUGAAGUUGAAGGGCCACCUUUCUAGUCUUCAAUACUGGGCGAAAUUGUUAUCCAUAUUCCAACACCUUUGUGACCGACAAAAACACAUUCAAGGCCUUACAAAAGGCUUCUGCUAUGAAUUGUAAAACUUUUCUUAUUCUUUCAUUACAUAACCUAUAGAGA